rnacentral:rRNA from 1 species
CCCGCUGAACUUAAGCAUAUCAAUAAGCGGAGGAAAAGAAACUAACAAGGAUUCCCCUAGUAACUGCGAGUGAAGCGGGAAAAGCUCAAAUUUGAAAUCUGGCGGCCCCGCCGUCCGAGUUGUAUUCCGGAGAAGCGUUUUCCGUGCCGGACCGUGUACAAGUGCCUUGGAACAGGACGUCAUAGAGGGUGAGAAUCCCGUCUUUGACACGGACCCCCGGUGCUAUGCGAUGCGCUCUCGAAGAGUCGAGUUGUUUGGGAAUGCAGCUCAAAACGGGUGGUAAAUUCCAUCUAAAGCUAAAUAUUGGCGAGAGACCGAUAGCGAACAAGUACCGUGAGGGAAAGGUGAAAAGCACUUUGGAAAGAGAGUAAAACAGUACGUGAAAUUGUUGAAAGGGAAACGCUUGAAGUCAGUCGCGUCUGCCGGAACUCAGCCUUGCUUCUGCUUGGUGCACUUUCCGGCUUGACGGGCCAGCAUCGGUUUCGAGCGGCGGACACUGGCGAGGGGAAGGUGGCAGCUCCGGCUGUGUUAUAGCCCCUCGUCGCAAACGCCGCCCGGGACCGAGGAAUCCGGCGCAAGCCUGGGAUGCUGGCGUAAUGGCUUUAAACGACCCGUCUUGAAACACGG